UACGUAUGGUGCAAGCGUUAUCCGGAUUUACUGGGUGUAAAGGGAGUGUAGACGGAGUGGCAAGUCUGAUGUGAAAACCCGGGGCUCAACCCCGGGACUGCAUUGGAAACUGUCAAUCUAGAGUACCGGAGAGGUAAGCGGAAUUCCUAGUGUAGCGGUGAAAUGCGUAGAUAUUAGGAGGAACACCAGUGGCGAAGGCGGCUUACUGGACGGUAACUGACGUUGAGGCUCGAAAGCGUGGGGAGCAAAC
rnacentral:rRNA from 1 species